rnacentral:rRNA from 1 species
AAUAGAUACCCUGGUAGUCCACGCCGUAAACGAUGAGUGCUAAGUGUUAGGGGGUUUCCGCCCCUUAGUGCUGCAGCUAACGCAUUAAGCACUCCGCCUGGGGAGUACGGUCGCAAGACUGAAACUCAAAGGAAUUGACGGGGGCCCGCACAAGCGGUGGAGCAUGUGGUUUAAUUCGAAGCAACGCGAAGAACCUUACCAGGUCUUGACAUCCCAUUGACCGCUAUGGAGACAUAGCUUUCCCUUCGGGGACAGUGGUGACAGGUGGUGCAUGGUUGUCGUCAGCUCGUGUCGUGAGAUGUUGGGUUAAGUCCCGCAACGAGCGCAACCCUUGUUCUUAGUUGCCAUCAUUUAGUUGGGCACCCUAAGGAGACUGCCGGUGACAAACCGGAGGAAGGUGGGGAUGACGUCAAAUCAUCAUGCCCCUUACGACCUGGGCUACACACGUGCUACAAUGGACGGUACAAACGGUUGCCAACCCGCGAGGGGGAGCUAAUCCGAUAAAACCGUUCUCAGUUCGGAUUGUAGGCUGCAACUCGCCUACA